rnacentral:miRNA from 1 species
CCGGACAGAAUUUUGUGCCCUUUU